rnacentral:rRNA from 1 species
GAUGAACGCUGGCGGCGUGCCUAAUACAUGCAAGUCGAGCGAACAGACGAGGAGCUUGCUCCUCUGACGUUAGCGGCGGACGGGUGAGUAACACGUGGAUAACCUACCUAUAAGACUGGGAUAACUUCGGGAAACCGGAGCUAAUACCGGAUAAUCUAUUGAACCGCAUGGUUCAAUAGUGAAAGACGGUUUUGCUGUCACUUAUAGAUGGAUCCGCGCCGCAUUAGCUAGUUGGUAAGGUAACGGCUUACCAAGGCAACGAUGCGUAGCCGACCUGAGAGGGGGAUCGGCCACACUGGAACUGAGACACGGUCCAGACUCCUACGGGAGGCAGCAGUAGGGAAUCUUCCGCAAUGGGCGAAAGCCUGACGGAGCAACGCCGCGUGAGUGAUGAAGGUCUUCGGAUCGUAAAACUCUGUUAUUAGGGAAGAACAAAUGUGUAAGUAACUAUGCACGUCUUGACGGUACCUAAUCAGAAAGCCACGGCUAACUACGUG